ACACAGAGGGCAGAUCCUGUGCUGCGAUGGGGGCACCUCACCUCAAGUGAUAUCCCAAACUGGAAAGCAUCAGCCUCAUUACAUGUUGCUUGGCUGUACUUUAUUGUGUCUGCAGUGGUUUUACUAGCAAAGGGGUCACCAGUUUAUAGCAUGGGCCUCAUCUGUAGAAGAAAUGAAACCAUAACCUGAAGAGCAACGACUGUGACUUCGGUAGCCCUUGUUACUGAAAAUCAACCAGACCCAUGUGUGGUUAUUUUGUCGUGCUGAGUAAUGCAACCAAAACCAAAAAGCAAGGUUCAAAAAGUACCAUCCUGAUGAAGAUAACGGGAAAAAACUGAACUGAAAACAUCUUUCCGUUCUGGUGAUGGGAUCAUUUGGAUUAAAAAAUGGACUGCAUAAGGACAGGUUCUCACUUCCAGCUAGUUAACUCUUCUUGUUCCCUAUAUAGAUUCCUCUUUGUAUGCUGAUAGGAUUUGCAUCUUUCUCUACAAAAUAGCAUGUAUAUAUAGGAUAGAUGUAUCAAAACGUAUAUCAACGUCUGUCUUUUUAGCUUUCUCUUAUAGUAAUGGCAACCUCGGCGAUUCCAAGUUUUUCUCGUAUUAUCCAUUUGCUUAAUGCGCAAUGAUGUAGCUUUCCCCACACCUGGAUCUCAGCCAACUACAACUGUCAGAAACCAUUUAUCUGCCUCAAUGAUCAAAUAAGCUGGCUGGUAAAACAAUGGACAUGUGAUUCACUGGGAGUGGAAGAAUGGUAAUAUAAAGAUAAGAAAAGCUGAGACAAAAAAAAGGCUAAAUGACUUAUACAGCUACCCAUCAAGACAAUGAAAGAAUCAAGAGCUGCACCUAGUUUUCCUGACUCCCAAAGCAGCACUCACGUAAUGGAUCACAUUGCCAAUUUAAUUGACUUUUGGUCAGCUAGUUGGAGUGGUCCUGCCUCUGAAGAUUUUUAUUAGUUACUGGAACGGUUUGUGUAAAGAAUGGGGCCCCAGAAUUCGAAUUCUAUCCAAUAUUCCUCAUUUUUUUUAUUUGAACUUGAUCCCUGGAGGAAGAUGAGAAGCCAAACAAUUCUGGAAGCCAGGAUCAUCACAAAUGAGUUGACGGAUGUGAUUGUGAAAAAUGCAAAGCAAAAUUCUUCCUGUUCUUCCAGAUCUAUGAUCCCUCUUUUAAACAUGUCACUUGGAGUUCUUUGAAUGGGGUAAGGGCAGAUCUGUGUUAUGUGAUCAACUGGAAAACAGAAGAAUGGAGAACUUUACUUUGUUUGGCCUGGAUUGCAUCUACAAGUUAAAAUAACUAAAAAACCCUUCCAGUCUUAUACCUCUAUGAAACUCCAUGACGUUUGUACUUUAAUCCUGAAUUAACCAAAUUAAGAACAGGAAAGCGUAACGCUGCUACAUGCCUUCUGAGGACCAGCCUUCAUUUUUCCAGAGCAUCUCAUUUAACCACAGGAAUAUUUUUUUCCCUAUAAAGUUGUAUUUAAAUAUUUAUUUUAAAAUAGUGAAGUGCCUUCAUAUAAAGACACGGAAAGUCGUUUUAGUUGGCAGGCCUAAGAUCAAAUAAAAUAUCUAAAUGUGGUUUAGAUAUUGACAUUUAUUAUUUUUAUGAGAAAAAAUGCACCCUAAAAGAGGAACUCAAAAUAUUUGAUUAUUUUUGAGGACUGGAUCCUGGGUCAGGAACUGGUGGAGGUGUCUCUUGUUUUCCGAGAAAGAAAGGCUUGAAAGAUGAGGUAGAUAAGUCUUUGUAAGUAUUUUGUGUAUGCAUCAGAAUAGAUAUAUCUACUGUCUUAUAUAUUAGAUCUAUUAAUUAUAUAAUUGUUUUAGCAUUCUAAUUGCCAUCCAUUAUGUUAGAUAUAGUGAUCCAAAGCCUGCCAGGCUCAUAACCUGACAACCCCAUAGAAAUCUGUUGCUCAUUUUUUAGUGAAACUGGGAUUCUGCUCAGUUCUACGAUCUUUUCAGUAGUGAAUCAAUUCUGGAAUGGCACGUGUCUGUGAACAAGAAAAAUGACAUGGAGCACCAAUCCUGGCAACAUAGGAAAAUCACUGAAAUAAGUUUAGCACUGCAAAGAGGACUUAGCGAGAACGACUAACUCUAAUGGCACUCCCUCUUUCUGCUUCACCAUCCAUCUUUCUGCUACAGUCUUAAAGAAAUAGUACGUACAGCUUCUUGUGAGCCAAGAAUAUGCUGCAAAGCCUUGCAGUCACCAGGAACAAACCUCCCUAAUGUGAUGUCACUUCAUAUGCUACUAGCUAAUUGAUUUCUCACGAGUUACAGUUGUACCUCAAAACCGAGUUUGUUUUUUCGCGUUUUGAAAUUCCAUAACACGUAAUAACCCUACA